rnacentral:lncRNA from 1 species
UAUUUGCCAAAUCUUUUUGAUCUAGGAAAGAUAUUAUCUAAUAUUCUCAAAAUCUGAUUAAAUAUGUUGAAUAUUUGAAAGAUAUUAGAUAUAAGAUAAAAGAUUUUAUCAACAGAAUAUUCAAAGUCCAAGCCCAAUCAAGCCCUAUAUAAAGAGACCCAGGGGAGGCAGAAAGGAGAGCUUCAUUCAUUCAUUGAUCCACCACUCCUUUCACUUUUCUUUAUGUGUUUCACUCCAUUCAUGGAGAGCUAAGCUCCUAGGGCUAUUCUGCUGUAAUUUCAUUAUGGAUUCUGAGGUUAUGUGAAUUAAUGCAAUUGUUUAUUUUGAUUAUUGAUUUAAGUUUUCUCUCUCUAUGUCUUUCAUCUCUCUAUCAUAUUAAACGCAAAGAUUUUUGCAUCAUUAUGUGUUUGAAUCUACCUACAUAUUAAUUAUAUGAGUUCUAGGGUUUCUAGGUUUUAUUGAGAAUCUACUUUGAUUUAAUUUAGGAACUUUCAUAUGAUUAAAUGGUUUUUACUAUCAAUUGAGAAUGUACUUUGGUUGGUAGUAAUAAUUUCAACUAUAAUCAAUUGAGAAUUUACUUUGAUUGAUUAGCUUUUAAUUUGGUUAAGAGAUUUAAGAAUAGACAUGAUUAAACACAAUAAAAUUGAUUGAGAAUGUACUUUGGUUG